GAUGUUUCCAUAUCAGAUUGCGUCUCCGGAGGCUUCACACACCGCCCGGUGUCACAUUUGCUCUUGACACCCAACCGGCGCCAUUGUUCUUUGGUUCGUUUAGGCCGAACUCCACCUCCCACCUGUUCGCCCGGCGCUCAGGAUGCAGGAGCCGGCGGGGAGAGCUGCUCGCCCGCCGCCGACCAAAACCAUCGUUGUCUACAAGAACGGAGACGCCUUUUUCACCGGGAAAAAACGGGUCCUGAACCCGCGCCAUCUCUCAACUUUCGACAACUUUUUGACCUCUCUGACCGAAGAGCUCGCCGCUCCGUUCGGCGCCGUGCGGAGGCUGCACACGCCCGCGGAGGGCCACCGGGUUCACGGCCUGGACGACUUGAAGCACAGGGGCGUCUACGUGGCGGCCGGAAAUGAGAAGUUCAAGAGGCUUGACUAUUGUAAGAUAGCAACAACCAAGAGGCCAGAAAAUAUGAAAAAAGAACCGAUUCUUCCCGUUGUUCACAGCAGAAUAGUAGUUCCUGCUCGCUGGGAGAGAAUUAAAGAGUCAUGCACGAUAAAUGUUUUCAUCAACGGCGAUUUAUUGGUUGAUCCUGUUCGAAUACGGAUCCCAAAAUAUACUCUCAGAAGCUGGGAAAGCGUUUUAGCCAUGGUCACGGAGAAAGUGCGUCUUCGCACUGGUGCUGUGUACAGGCUUUGUACAGUAGACGGACGCCCCGUCUCCGACCUCGCUGAACUGCAGAACAACCGGUACUACGUUGCAGUUGGUGCAAAAAAGUUUCAACAUCUCCCAUAUGUUCAGCGCAUCCCCUUCGUGGAUCGCAUGGGGAAAAACAACGCGGUCGAAGGGUAUGACGCUUGUCAUUUCCAACACUACAAUGACACGCUGCCGGCGGUUAAAAAGACAAGCCGCCCAAUGGAUAAGUUUGCUCACGCAGGCUUUGGAGAGGACCUUGAGCACACAGCCAGGGGCCAGAUGGAGAAAGAAGCCCAACACCAGACAACCAAACAACACAAGCAGGUGUCCAGGAACCCAGUUCUCCCCUCCACAUGGGAGGGCAGCGUGUUCAAUGCACAAAACAAAAGAAGUGAGCUGGCAGGAGCAACGGAGGUGCAGGAAGACGGCCGGUUGAAGGCAGACCUGCCUAUUGAUCAGGUCGAGGCCAAGACGGUUGACGAGGAGUGUGUGGAUGGCGGUCGUUCUGCGAGUCCCCGUGAGGCCUCCCAGCGUGUUUCAAACAGCUUGUUUCUGCAGAGGUUUUUGUCUGCAGGUUCCAGGAAAAAUGGCCACACAAUAACGGUCAGAACAGCAAUUAGGCCAGCCUUUCUGCGAGCCAAGGAGACCCAGACACGGGGCACAAUACUGGUGCUGGAGGCACAGGGUUGAAGAGCCUUCAGCCCCAGGAGGCUGAAGCGAUGGAGGUGCGUUCCGGGCUCGGUAGAAUGCAGUCACGGGUGUUCCGGUUUUUCAAGGGAAAAUGAAAUUCAAUCAAAAAGCCACAGAAGUCCGUGUCAGACUGCUACGGACCAGACGUCCUCGUUCUCUUCUGUCUCCAGAAGCCAUCUGCUCAUGUAUAAGAUGAAACAGUGUUAUAAACCAAAUAAAAAUGUCUUGCCUCCUGACAGCCCCA